AACUUCCUGCAAGGUAUCACUUGGCUCUCGCAUCGUUUAAGAACGCAGCGAAAUGCGAUAAGUAAUGUGAAUUGCAGAAUUCAGUGAAUCAUCGAAUCUUUGAACGCAUCUUGCGCUCGUUGGUAUUCCGAGGAGCAUGCCUGUUUGAGUGUCAUUUGACCUUCUCAACCACAUCGUUUGUGUUGUGUGGCUUGGAUGUGGGGGUUUGCAGGCUUUCAACCAAAAGCCGGCUCCUCUGAAAUGCAUUAGUGGUGUCUGGGCUGCUAUUGGUGUGAUUAAAUAUUAUAUCUAUGCCUUUGGUGAUGCUGGUCAGCACUGCUUACAAACGGAUGGUGAAUCAUCAUUUGACAAAUUUGACCUCAAAUCAGGUAGGACUACCCGCUGAACUUAAGCAUAUCAAUAAGCGGAGGCU
rnacentral:misc_RNA from 1 species